GAUGAAGAACGUAGCGAAAUGCGAUAAGUAGUGUGAAUUGCAGAAUUCCGUGAAUCAUCGAAUCUUUGAACGCACAUUGCGCCUUCUGGUAUUCCGGAAGGCAUGCCUGUUCGAGAGUCAUUAACAACCGUUUCGAUCCCUUUCUUUCAGAAAUUACAAAGAGGAAAAGGGUUUGGUUAUGGUGGAGGAGGGAAAGGGAGCGUUUAGCCUGUAAAAAAAGAGGCUGUGUUCCGCCUCCCCCCCAAAAUUGUACAGGCGGUCGUGUGCGCCCGCGCAUCGAGGUGUUGUAAAAGCUGCCACGGCACUUUUCACCUGUGCAGUGCGAGAUUGGCCAGCCGGUUUAAAAACCCCUCCAAACAAUCAAAGGUUGACCUCGGAUCAGGUAGGGAUACCCGCUGAACUUAAGCAUAUCAAUAAGCGGAGGA
rnacentral:misc_RNA from 1 species